rnacentral:pre_miRNA from 1 species
GCAGUGGGAAGGGGGGCCGAUACACUGUACGAGAGUGAGUAGCAGGUCUCACAGUGAACCGGUCUCUUUCCCUACUGU